rnacentral:rRNA from 1 species
UACGUAGGGUGCAAGCGUUGUCCGGAAUUAUUGGGCGUAAAGCGUGCGCAGGCGGUCUGUUAAGACCGAUGUGAAAUCCCCGGGCUUAACCUGGGAACUGCAUUGGUGACUGGCAGGCUUUGAGUGUGGCAGAGGGAGGUAGAAUUCCACGUGUAGCAGUGAAAUGCGUAGAGAUGUGGAGGAAUACCGAUGGCGAAGGCAGCCUCCUGGGCCAACACUGACGCUCAUGCACGAAAGCGUGGGGAGCAAACAGG